UGAGUCGUCCGGGUGACCGCGGCCAUCGGUGGAGACACCGGUGCGCUGAGGAAGGUCGGGACUCCACAGGGUACGGAGCUGGCGAGAGCCAGGUUGGGGCGACCUGACGGACGUGCAACAGAGAGCAAACCGCCGAUGGGCAACCGGUUCGCCGGGCGCCACAGGCAAGGGUGAAACGGUGCGGUAAGAGCGCACCAGCGUCCGGGGUGACCCGGGCGGCUGGUAAACCCCUCCGGGAGCAAGGUCGAGCAGAGGGACGGGCGACCCGUCCGCCGUGGCAACACGGCACCCUCGGGUAGGCCGCAGAGAUGGAUGGUCACCCCCGGGUUCGCCCGGGACAGAAUCCCGCCUACAGGUCGACUCACCGU
rnacentral:RNase_P_RNA from 1 species